AGCAUAUCAAUAAGCGGAGGAAAAGAAACCAACAGGGAUUGCCCUAGUAACGGCGAGUGAAGCGGCAACAGCUCAAAUUUGAAAUCUGGCUCUCUUUGGGGGUCCGAGUUGUAAUUUGCAGAGGAUGCUUUGGCAUUGGCGGCGGUCUAAGUUCCUUGGAACAGGACAUCGCAGAGGGUGAGAAUCCCGUACGUGGGCGCCUGCCUUUGCCGUGUAAAGCUCCUUCGACGAGUCGAGUUGUUUGGGAAUGCAGCUCUAAAUGGGAGGUAAAUUUCUUCUAAAGCUAAAUACCGGCCAGAGACCGAUAGCGCACAAGUAGAGUGAUCGAAAGAUGAAAAGUACUUUGGAAAGAGAGUCAAAAAGCACGUGAAAUUGUUGAAAGGGAAGCGCUUGCAGCCAGACUUGCCCGCAGUUGCUCACCUAGGCUUUGGCCUGGGGCACUCUUCUGCGGGCAGGCCAGCAUCAGUUUGGGCGGUCGGACAAAGGCCUCUGUCAAGUAUCUCCCUUCGGGGUGACCUUAUAGGGGAGGCGUAAUGCGACCAGCCCGGACUGAGGUCCGCGCAUCUGCUAGGAUGCUGGCGUAAUGGCUGUAAGCGGCCCGUCUUGAAACACGGACCAAGGAGUCUAACAUCUAUGCGAGUGUUUGGGUGUCAAGCCCGGGCGCGCAAUGAAAGUGAACGGAGGUGGGAACCCUUUGGGUGCACCAUCGACCGAUCCUGAUGUCUUCGGAUGGAUUUGAGUAAGAGCAUAGCUGUUGGGACCCGAAAGAUGGUGAACUAUGCUUGAAUAGGGUGAAGCCAGAGGAAACUCUGGUGGAGGCUCGCAGCGGUUCUGACGUGCAAAUCGAUCGUCAAAUUUGGNGCAUAGGGGCGAAAGACUAAUCGAACCAUCUAGUA
rnacentral:sRNA from 1 species